UACGUAGGUGGCAAGCGUUAUCCGGAAUUAUUGGGCGUAAAGCGCGCGCAGGCGGUUUCUUAAGUCUGAUGUGAAAGCCCACGGCUCAACCGUGGAGGGUCAUUGGAAACUGGGGAACUUGAGUGCAGAAGAGAAAAGCGGAAUUCCACGUGUAGCGGUGAAAUGCGUAGAGAUCCGGAAGAACACCGGUGGCGAAGGCGGUUAGCUGGGCAGUUGCUGACACUGAGGCGCGACAGCGUGGGGAGCAAACAGG
rnacentral:rRNA from 1 species